rnacentral:rRNA from 1 species
UAUGUAGGGUGCGAGCGUUGUCCGGAAUUACUGGGCGUAAAGAGUUCGUAGGCGGUUUGUCGCGUCGUUCGUGAAACUUGGGGCUUAACUCCAAGCGUGCGGGCGAUACGGGCAGACUUGAGUACUACAGGGGAGACUGGAAUCCUGGUGUAGCGGUGAAAAUGCGCAGAUAUCAGGAGGAACACCGGGUGGCGAAGGCGGG